UGCUAGGGUUUAUAGAUUGGAAAACCUAACUCUGCCCUCCCCUUUCUCACCAAACCCUAUCGCUAUGCCCUCCAAUCUCAGUUCGCUGCAAUAGCCCGGACGCAAAAUUCUCUUGCCGCAUCACUCAGUUUCAUCCCUGCGUCCGCCGCCGCUCCCUGCUUCUGCCGCCGCCGCGCAGGACUCUGCCUAAACGCUUGGAGAGGAGCCUGUGGGUUGGGUCUGCUACUUCACCGUCAAUGAAGAGGAACGGAGGCACCAAAGCGCGACAUCAGCGACGGUAACCUGGCGGCUUUGGACAAGGCGACGAUAACCUAGCAACGGCGGAGCUUUCACUCCGGCAACGACGGGAUCUUCGAGCUCAACGGCAGCGAAGAGGAACGGGUGGAACGAAGCAGAAGGGGGAAUUGCACUACCUACU